rnacentral:tmRNA from 1 species
GGGGCCGAUCAGCAUCGACAGACGUGUAAAGGUGUAGCCUUCCCUCAGUUUGAGCCUCUGUGAUCGGCUCAAAAUUAUAGUUGCGAACGAUAACUUCGCUUCGGAUCAAGCUCUUGCUGCGUAAUGCGGCGGAUCUAAUCCACCUAAACUCCUAGGGUUUAAGCUCCCUAGGCGGGGCCCGCUGGACGCCUGGCAACAGAAGUCCAGCACU